ACGUGAUGCACGCCGCCAGGUCCGCGCCGACAUCGUGCUCACGGAGCUUGGCCUCUGCGUUGUGUUCUCCAUCUUGCAACGCAUGAUGAACUACACAGUAGAGUUCAGCCGAGGAAGAAUCAGGUGAUUCUGGAUUGUUGUGUAAUUGUUUAUAUUCCUAACUGAGAUGGGAUUACAGUUUAUUUGCUUGAUUAUUGGUCAUGUUUACUUAGAUAAUCCAUUGAUGGUUGAUCUGGUUAAGUACAUAUGCUACCCCUUGUUUGUUUAUAUUGCUAGCUGAGAUGGGAUUACAGUUUAUUUGCUUGAUUAUUGGCCGCAUUUACUUAGAUAAUUCAUUGAUGGUUGAUCUUGUUAGCUACAUAUGCUACCCCCUGUUCUGAACAAGCUUUAAUUUUGGUGGACUAAUCCCAGUUUGACAUAGUUGCUGGUCAUCAACAAAAAGCCGACCACAUAAUCCUGUAUUUUAUUUCUGGGUCGUUUCAAAAUUUCUGCUCUACACAGAAUCUUAAGAAGUUUGGGUAUGCACACAGGUCCUAAUAAUAAUGAGCUGUUUAGUGCAAUGCAUGUGGCCUGAUUACUUCUUUUCUUUCCUUUUUUAUGUUGUACGUUCUUGGAGGUCGCCUUUUCUUUCUUCCGUUGAUCAAGUUUUCUUCUUCUUUCUUCUGCUUAUCAGGGUUUCUUCCUUUCCUUUUUUCUGGAAAUUGCAUUUAUUGUGUGACCUAUGUAUUUUCAUUAUUCUUGCUUCAUUGGUCGUGUUGAUAUUCUGGGUUUGGCCCGACAUUGUGUUUUCUUUUGCCUCAUGCCAUUCAUAUUUUGUGGUUGCGUGUGGACAUGGUUUGCGUGCUUAUUUCAAUUGUUAGCCGUGUAUCAUGGUGUGCUUUGCCUGCUUUUUCAUGCUUGUGUGAAUUGACCAUGGUCUGUUCUUGUUGGGGUAAAGCCUGAACUGCCGGGUACACUUUGGUUAUUGUCCUUAUUCUGGUUCUCCUUGGCAUCUUUCUAUCAGUGGAGAUCCUUGUUUUCAAAUAGCAGGGAUAGAGGGACAGAAAAGAUAUAUUUGUCACGGCGCUGCAAGUGUUGCCCCCCUCCUCCCCAAGGGCAAGGUGAAGGAAGGUGCCUGUGUGGUUCUUUUGCAGUUCGCAACGAGGAUUGUUGUGUUCAACCUGCACAAGAAUGCCAAGAAGUCCUUCUCGGAGACGAUUAAGGACAUGUACCUGCACUACAACGAGAGAUCUGGGCUGCUUCUUUGUGGCUUCCAAACUUGAAAUGUUUGUUUGGAAGUUAGUUUAGUUUUUUGUUGUGGAUUCACAGCUUCUCACAUGUACCAUCUUCUUAGACCUUUAGAUUUCCAAAGAAACUAAAUGAAGAUA